GCCGGGCAUAGUGGCGCAUGCCUGUAAUCUCAGUGUCUCGGGAGGCUGAGACAGGAGCGUGGAGAGUUCAAAGCCAACCUUAGCCCCCAGAAAGGUGAGGUGCUAAGCAACUCAGUGAGACCCUGUUUCUA
rnacentral:sRNA from 1 species